GCUCCGGUGGCCUAGUGGUUAGAGCGUCCGCCUCGUAUGCCGGAGGUCCUGAGUUCUAAUCCCGGUAGAAGCA